rnacentral:lncRNA from 1 species
GCCAUCACCAAAGCCAGUCCUCACAGCUCCUGCCUCGCUCCGACCACCAUCCCCACCCGCCGAAACUUGAACUGGUAGAGGCAGGUGGUGGAGGACUCUCGGCUCCAGAUCCCAACUCCUUUCCCAACAGCCAGGCCCACAGCCCUAGCCCCCAUUGGAGUCGGGGAGCAGGGAAGAGCCAAGAUCUAAAUCAAGUUCAAGGUUAAAGCAUUAUAAAUGAACAGGACUUGGUCUUAAAUCCCAAAAGUGACUAGAAAGUUAGAAUUUGGCCAAAAUUUCAUGAAAAGGAGCCACAACCAAAAACGAGUAGAGGGAGGGGUACACAGUUCAACAAAAGUUAAAUACCACUCUCUGUCCUCAACAAAUUUAGACUUUUCAAUAAACCAGCUACAGAUGAGAUGCAUUCUUUAAUUAGCACUUUCAAAUCACUCCACGUUCUAUUUCAUUUCUUUUUAUGCCCAAAGACCAUCUUUCAGUCUUUGAAGACUGUACGGGUCCGAUCACAAUCCAAUCCAAGUGCCUGAGAAGCUGUGGAUCUGAAAAUCUAGGCAUGCCCCUUCAUCCUCGUGAGCUACAGCACGCUGCCUCCCUUAGCGCCGUCCACCAGAAUCCUACACUCUGUUUUCAGAAGGGAGACAUCUCCGCUGUAGCCAUUCUGGCAUUUCACAAGUCCUGUUGCCUCAGGGAAUGCAUGUGAGGAAAUCCAGGCCUAGGCAGAGAUUUCCUUCAAAUGCCGGGGGGAGGUGAAAAAUGAAAGACGUGCAUGGCAAACCAAACAUUGAGGUCAUUUGGUUUCCAAAUGGGAGGGAGCACAACACAAGCAUGUGCAGAUUCGCCUGCAAAGAUUCCCAGUUCUUGGACCUGGGGCGCAUAAUUGAAAUGAUGCUAUUGGCAUAGGGGAUGUCCAAAUAGCUCCAUAAUUAUUCUUGAUUGCAGUGACUCACUUGGGGGAAGACAGAUGGAUGGGUGGGAAGGAUAAAAACAGAAUAGUGAGGAGUGGGGGGCAUGUUUAUCUAAUUUUGAUUUUUGAGUUUGUGGAAGUCAGUCCAUGACACCAUUAACUCAUUUUAGAUACGUUUUAUGGUUUUUUAAAAUCUCCUUAAAAAGUAGUUGCCUAAAAGAUGAUGAUGUGUUAAAUGAGGGCUUUAAAAUAAUCCCAUAGGGUAGAGGGAAUGGGUGGGAGUAUAGAUAAAACAAGAUGUUCUCGAGUUAAUAACUGAAAGCUGGCUGGUGGUCCAUGGGUGUUCAUGAUAAUGUUCCUAUGAAUGUCUUUUUUAAAAGGCCUUUCAAAUUGCAUAAUGAUUUAGUAGCUUGAAGGGCACCUGGGUGGCUCAGGGGUUGAACAUCUGCCUUUGGCUCAGGUCCUGGGAUGGAGUCCCACAAGUUCCCUGCAGGGGGCCUGCUUCUCCCUCUCUCCGUCUCUGCCUCUCUCUGUGUCUCUCAUGAA